CAUAUUUUAAUGUUAUGUCACUUAAUAAAAAUUAAUUAAUGUUACCGUUACUUUUAGAAUUGGUUUAUUAUCCCUGCCUAUUUUUAAAUUUUAUUUUUUAAUUAUUAUUUCGUAAUUAAAAAAAACUCAAACUUUUAUAUUUAAUUUAUUUAAUAAUGAACCGACUGUAUAUGUAUGUAUUAGAAUGCGAUUGCGAUGAAACUUUGGUGAGUUGUUGUCUACACCCCAAGGAAGGUUUCUGAAUUAAAAAAAAAUACUCUUUUUUAUGUAGGUAUGCCAUUAUGAAACUAUUGACUUCUUUUUGUUAUGUUUUUUAUUCAGGAAGGAGAUGGUUUGUUUUCUUAUAAUUCAAAUGUCAGCGACAUCGAUAUUUUACUGAUACGUGAAAAGCCAUGGAAGAAGUCUGUAGAAAUAGGUUGACCAACUCUAUUGGUGUUUCUAAUUUUAAUAAAAGACAUCGAACAAAUGAUGAUUCCAAAUUGAUCGAAAUCGCAAGAAAAUUGGAAAAUCACCAGUACAAAUAUUGCCCAUCUGUCAGGUCCAAUAAGGUCAUAAAACUAUACUAAAAUCCGUAAAUAAACAACGAAUUAAGAAAAAUUUAAACAUUUUUGACUUCGAAUUUACUCCACAAAAAAAGGCUUACAUUGACACAUUCGAGUGUAAUGAAAGAAUAUACCCACCUUCUUUUGCAUAUAAUCACAAGGAUCAUCCAUUUAUUCUUAACGAAUAUUAAUUGGUAAUAGGGAGAUUUACUUUUGACCAUUUUACUUUAAAUAAAGGUUUGGAAAACGAUACGAUCCUUUUACCGAAACUGAAGACAUCCAACACGAUUGGUCGGUAUUGUAAAAAAAAUAUAUAUUACUUAUUUGAUUGAAAAAAAUCGAUUUAUUUAAAAAGCAUCAAAACUACUACAUAAGAUACAAUGUUACUGGCAAAAGAAAUUAAUAUGCUAUAACUAAAGUUGGCUAUACCAUAAAUCGAAAAUUUUAAGCCAGGUGAUGAAGCCAAUUCAGAAAAUAGUAUAAGCUCCUCUAACAACACUUUAUGUUGUUGAAAUGUGUAAUUGUUACACCGAAUAAUUUCUAAAACAAUAUCUUGAACAACUUUAGGGAUUUCGCUCAUUAUUUUCGUGGUCACUGUAGCAGUGUGAAGCAUCGAAAUAAUAGUCCCCUAAAACAUUUAGUUAACAUUUACACACACUGAUAAUUAAACUCGAUAAUAAGUAUUAUAUAGAAAUUUACCAGAUAAAAGAUGUUCCAAAAUGUAAUUGAUAUAACUUUCUUGAAUGUAAUCGCUUCGAACUGAUUAUAAAAUACAUGCAGUAAAAUUGAA